AGUGAACGCUGGCGGCAGGCCUAACACAUGCAAGUCGAACGGCAGCACAGGAGAGCUUGCUCUCUGGGUGGCGAGUGGCGGACGGGUGAGGAAUACGUCGGAAUCUGCCUAUUUGUGGGGGAUAACGUAGGGAAACUUACGCUAAUACCGCAUACGACCUACGGGUGAAAGCGGAGGACCUUCGGGCUUCGCGCAGAUAGAUGAGCCGACGUCGGAUUAGCUAGUUGGCGGGGUAAAGGCCCACCAAGGCGACGAUCCGUAGCUGGUCUGAGAGGAUGAUCAGCCACACUGGAACUGAGACACGGUCCAGACUCCUACGGGAGGCAG
rnacentral:rRNA from 1 species